rnacentral:tRNA from 1 species
GGGCGAUUGGCUCAGCGGUAGAGCGCUUCCCUGACACGGAAGAGGUCACUGGUUCGAUCCCAGUAUCGCCCA